GAACUUUCAGUCCCAUUCCACCCCCCACCUCCGGGGAGGGGCGAGGGACUGGAGGUUGAAUCAAUCGCCAAUGGUCAAUGAUUUAAUCAAUCAUGCUUAUGUAAUGAAGCCUCCAUAAAAACCCAAAAAGGACCGGGUUUGGAGAGCUUCCGGGUUGGUGAACACGUGGAGAUUUGGAGAGAAUAACGCACCUGGAGAGAGCAUGGAAGCUCCCUGCCCUUUCUCCAUACCCUGUCUUAUGCAUCUCUUCCAUCUGGCUGUUCCUGAGUUAUAUCCUUUUAUAAUAAACCACUAAUCUGAUCAAUUCCUGUCCAGUCCUUUAUUUUUAAUGUUUAAAGCAAAUGACAAGAUCAACUCUUGUGGUUUUCUUGGAGCUACCUGCAAACAGGCUCACCAAUAUCAGAGAAGGGGCUCUUGUGCCUAGAAAAGCUUAUCUUCAGAUAGAACUGACAACAUUCAGGCAAGAAAAAUGUCCAGGUGAUGAGAAGUUACUGAAUUGUGGAAAUGCAAAAGAAAUUAAUGAGAAACAAUCAGAAGGCAGGAAAUAAAAUCAAGAGGAGGCCUGGAAACCUGGAACAGCGGGGAACUGAAGAAAGCAAGGAGACAGAUGCCAAUAGUUACUGUCUACCCAUUACACAGUAGGCAUCAUUGCAUAUAAUCCUUCCAAGCAUCCUAUGAGACACCCUGUACAGGUCGCCAGAAUAAAUCUGAUGAGCUGUGACAGCAUCAACCAAAAGCAAAGGGCUUUGAAAGAUUGUAGGGUCAUAACAAGAGCCAAGAAAGAAAAACCUAAAUAAACAAGAGAAAAAAAGCCACACAGCUUGCUGAAUUUUCUAUCCAAGGAACUCUGGUUGCUGUGUUGACUACAGACUAUUAAGAUUAUAAAUAAAGAGACCAAUGAGGAGGCUACUGCAGUAAUCCAGAUGAUGUGAAGCGAGCACUACCACAGUGCUGAAAGGCAUGGAGCAGAAUGUCAAGAAUAUGGGCUCUGGAGUCGAACCUGCCUUCUUCCAGUCCAGCUCUGCCUCUUACUAGCAAUGUAACCCUGAGAAGAAGGCAUUUCACUUUCUCAGCCUCAGUUCCUUCAUCUAUAAAGUGGGGAAAGUAAUAUAUAUGGUGACAGAUAUUUUGAGAAUUAAGUGAAGUAGCAUACAUGUAAAUCACUCAAUAAAUGGUAUGUGUUAUUA